ensembl:lncRNA
GUACAGUAAACCGUGACUUUCUCCUGUAGCUUCAUUGUGGAAACAUUUCUUCCUAGUGGCUUUCUGAAAAUUAACACAAGAUUUAUUUUUGUGAAAAAUAAGACAUAUGUAUUUUUAUUUUAUUAUUUGGCUUUUUGCCAUUUGUAUUUAUUUCAUUCAGUUUUGCUGAAAUUUUUCUCUUUUAUUGAUGGGAAGCUAAGUAAGGCAUCAGUUUGGUUUUCUAGAGUGGUCCUACAAGCUGGGAUGUAAUUUGGGAGGCCUCUUUGCCUUUGGGAGCGUGUGAAUACAUGUUUCUGUGAGGUCACCAGAAGCUCAAGAGGCCUAGGUCAAAGGGCCUCUCCUCUCUGAGGUGUGGCUGAGAAGCACAGGGAGCGGGGAGGUCCCUCCCAGGUGGUGGACAUGAGUGUUCUGUCCGGGACCCCAUUGUGUUCUCUCUCCAGGGAGCUACCAUCAAGCGCCACGAGAUGACAGGACAUCCUGGUGGCCAGGGUCAUCCACGGAGGGCUGCUAGAGGGGAGUGCAGAGCCUGCAGCCACGGGGAGCGCAGCAGGUCGUACAGGAGACUCUCCACUCAUGUCGCGGCUAUAGAACAGACUCAGCUCUCACAGCAGGAGCCUCAGGAUGCCAGAGAGGCCUAGAGGAGAGGAAGCCCGAGACCAGGUGGCCAGAACAGCAGGUUGUCCACCAAUUCAGAAAAUCAUGUCAUUAAUAGCAACGGUCCUUGUGGUACUGAGAAAAUCACAACACACCACUUCAGGUGAGGAAUCUAACAUUCAAGAGGUAAUCAGAAGAGCAGUAAAACCAGCUCUCCUUUGUUAGUCCUGAAGUGCUGAAAGAGUCUUUCAGUCUCAUGACUGCUGCACCAACUUUGUCAGUUGAGACUUGGCUGUUUCUGCUAUCUUGAGGACGAGAAUUCCUGAUGAAGUGUACAAGCCAAUGCCACGAGCAUGCAAUUUGGGGCUGAUCAAGAGGAAGGAUGGCCAGUGCUUGUCAUUGACCCAGAAACUGCACCGUCACUACUGACUUGUAAGGCCUUCAUCCUAAGCAUUACUUUAAAAGUCAUAUUUCCAUUAGCUCUAAAAAAUAUCCUGAUUACUAUUCAAAGCUUCAGCCUCCUUUCGCAUUAUGCUUGUUUUUUUCAAAACAAUGCUUUGAAGAGACAAAGCUGGAAAAAGCAGUUGAAAAGUCAAAAUUGCUCCAUACUAAAUGGUUGGCAUCCUCUGAUUCAAAUGCUGUUGAUUAGGACUGGACAUGUGCUGUUUUACUCAAGCUCCAAAACACUCAUAAUUUCAUACUUCAAUAGCUUCUCAAAGCAGAACCUGCUUUCACAAUCAUAAAAUUCUCCAGGUGAUUUGAGCACCUAUGAAAUCCCUUUUAGAGUUCUACUGUUCACAAUUAACAAUGUAUAGAAAAGCUAGACAAUAAUGAUGUCUUCUGUAACAGAUUUAUCAGUUUCUUUCCUGCAAGACUGUAACAUUGCUCCUGUCCAGACAAAAGCCUGAGUAGAAAAUCCUCAUGGGCUAUUAGCUGCCAAAGUCACCUCACUGCUCUAGAUAAAAUUCCUGCAUAUCCUCUUUGAUAUAAUCCACAGACCUAACCCAGCCUAAUCACUAAAUUACUCAGAAGCUUCCCUGUCACAAGUGUUCCUUGCAUUGACCCACCUAAUUUAUAUAAUUUCCAAACUUCCUCUAGUAUUUUCUCACACUUCAAGCACAUAGAAUUAUUAUAGUGCAUUAGUAUUUUUUGUUGACUAUUUCAGAAUAACAGAUGCCCUACAAUAGAUGGGAUUUUUAUUUUAAUGGAAGGAAAACCUGGAGGUACAUGGAGUAAACUGACCUAGUAACCUUAUUUUCUUAUAUUCGGGUGAGAAAACAAUGGGACUCUUCUGCCAGGAAUCACAAGGCCCAUUAGGAACAGCUUUUUCUGGUCAAUACCCUGUGAAGCGUUUUUUUUUUUUUGGAGACAGGGCCUUGCCAUGUAGUUCAGGCUGGGCUUGAACUAUGCAGCCUAGGUUGGCCUUGAACUCACGGGGGAUCCUCCUGCUUUAGCCUCCUGAGGGCUGGGAUGACAGGUGUGUGCCAGCAUGCCUGUGAAGCCUCUGCUGUGAAUGUAGUCAGCCUCGGCACUCUGUAUGCUCAGAGACUAGCACCACGUCUGUGGAAGCUCAGUCCCGAGGCUGAAAUGGCACAGCAGUCCACAGGACCUAUGUACAUCCUCCUUAACCACUUUAGAUCACUUCUGGAUGACUUGUAAAAUACAAUGUACACACUUGUAUAAGGAAUAAUGACAAGGAAAAAACUCUGUACCUAUUCAGUACAGAUGCAUCCACACACACACACAUUUUCCAUUCAGUUGACUCCACAACGUGAAAUUUGCAGACAGGAAAAAAAGCCAACUGUCUUUAUUAAAAAUUUGUAUUACUGUAUAAGGGAUGGUCAGCAGAAAGAGCAUCUGGAAAUAGGUUUCACAUAAAGACCAAGAGGAACGGUGCUGCUCACUGACAAAAGACCAAAUGCCAACUGUGAAAAGUUUUCAGUCCUUUGUAACUCAAACACAUGGCUUUCUUCGUCCACCCACUGUAGAGGAAAACACAACCUGGAAUUUACACAUUUAUGAGUAUUCUGAGUACAGCAUAUUUUACCAAAAACAAUUUUAAGUUUUCACUUUUAACUUUGAAAAUUUCUAAACCUAGCUAUAAAAUGUUGUCUCUGGCUGUGGUAGCGUAACACCGGAGCUGGAGUAGGGAAGUUAAAGGCUAGAGUCUUAGGUCUGACAGUGAGCACAUCUCGCUCCUCCUUGUUGUAGGUGGGGAGAAAGGCGGUAGAUUCCACUCCUAGGCGCUGGGAGCAGCUGUCAUACUUGUGAAAGAUCUUCUUGAGUUGGUAAGCAAGUGCUAGGUAUUUCUACUUACAGACACUGGCCUAGAGGUUUAGGGCUUUUCCCUGAGAUGAAAAUUUAUAAUUUUAAUACUCUGUCUGGAAAGUAUAAAUAUAUAGAAUGAAGAAUCCAAAGUAACUGGACAGUUUUAAGACUCCAGUGAAAGGACUGGUUGCAUCAUGUCCUUCUAGCCUGGAGAUGGCUGUUGUCAUUGGGGAAUUUCUUGAUGGGUUCAUUGAUCUUGAAUGGACAAAGCUUUUUUGGGGGGGCUCGUUUGCACAUAUUAUCUCUCUUAAGGAACUAGAUGUUCAAUAAAUCUGUCUUUGCCAGCCAAAUAUGCUAUUCGCAUGUGUUUUCAGAAAGUCAAAACAAUCCCGAUAGAAAUGGAAACUGUUUAACCCAGACCUUUCGUUCAGUUGGUCCUUUCACACACAGCGCAGGGAGCAUGACUGAUACCUCACGUUUCUAACUAGAAUUUUAAAUCCUCCUUCUUUCCUUCCCUGAAACUGCUCAUGAGAUAAAAAACAGGAAAAUGAGCACCUUUUAAAAUAUGUCCUUUAUUCAAAGAAAUAAUAGAUUUCUUUUAAGACUCUCAUCCUUGGGUUAUUAGAAUCAGAAAGUUAACUUGUUG